ACAGAUCGCAAGCUAAAUCAUCCAUCUUAGGAGAGUCUCACCCUGAUGUCCAGGCUGGAGUGCAAUCACUCAGUCUCGGCUCACUGCAACCUCCACCUCCUGGGUUCAGAUGCUGUUGACUGGGGCAAAGAAUAAUGGGAGAAAAACAGCUGGGUCCUAAAUAACAGAGGGAAACCAACUUUCAAUAAAGUAUUCAACAACU
rnacentral:lncRNA from 10 species